UACGUAGGGUGCGAGCGUUGUCCGGAAUUAUUGGGCGUAAAGAGCUUGUAGGCGGUUUGUCGCGUCUGCCGUGAAAAUCCGGGGCUCAACCCCGGACUUGCGGUGGGUACGGGCAGACUAGAGUGUGGUAGGGGAGACUGGAAUUCCUGGUGUAGCGGUGAAAUGCGCAGAUAUCAGGAGGAACACCGAUGGCGAAGGCAGGUCUCUGGGCCACUACUGACGCUGAGACGCGAAAGCGUGGGGAGCGAACAGG
rnacentral:rRNA from 1 species